ensembl:snRNA U6 U6 spliceosomal RNA
GUGCUCACUUUGGCAGCACAUAUACUAAAAUUGGAGCAAUACAGAGAAGAUUAGCAUGGGCCCUGCGCAAGGAUGAGACACAAGUUUAUGAAGCGUUCCAUAUUUUC